rnacentral:lncRNA from 1 species
GGGGAAAAUGGCAUAUCCAAGGAAAGAGUAAAAGGCGUCUCCCUCCCUGCCACCCGAUUCCACAAAAUCGAGCCCCGGAAGAGAGUCCUCUUUUCUGCCCUGGCACGGAACCGCCGUUGCCCGAAGUGACGGAGUGUGCCGAGUUUCCGGCGAGUCUGGAGUUGCAACGGGCCGUGCACGGUGUUCGCCCGCGCUCUCGUUUGCAAUUUGUCCUGGCGUUUUAUUUAUAUUCAUGCCGGAGGAGACGCGAAAAGACAAAAAAGGGAAACUGGGCGUCUUCUCAGGCAGAAUCUUCAUCAGCGAGAUACGAGAGUUCGUGCGCGGGCGGGGAACCCCGCGCGAACGGGGUCUGUCAGGGCUGCGGGGGGGGACACUCUCAACCGGAGGAGGCGGGGAACCUUGGCAAAUAAACAAAUAAAAACAUGCCAUGCGAGGCCAGCGAAGAACCGGAAACAUCCUUUGAAAGGAUGUUUCCUCGCGCCUCAUCACAAGAUACGGCAUUCGGCGUGACGUUCGUUGACAACUGGACGUCCUUUCCGGCGCCUGGCAGGAAAGCACCCCCAAAUGAUGUGUGAGGCGAUGAACAGACAUCGCGAGCUUCUGUCGCGUGUGAAGCUGUAUUUAACAGAGUUUUCACUGAAAGCUUGUGGAGAGCGGCAAACAAGGAGAAACUCACUGGUGGUGGUGUACCGGGUGCAUACUGCUGUGUGUCGGUAAAGCCUGUGUGGAUCCUUGUCCCGUUUCCGGCUUACACAAGGAACCUGCAGCUGAGCUCCGCCGUAUCAACCUCAAAGAUCUGGA